rnacentral:rRNA from 1 species
UAACGCGUAGGUAUCUGUCUCUGGGUGGGGGGAGUAACCAUGGGAAACUAUGGCUAAUACCGCAUGAAACCUGAGGGUCAAAGGCGCAAGUCGCCUGGAGAGGAGCCUGCGUACGAUUAGCUUGUUGGUGAGGUAAUGGCUCACCAAGGCGACGAUCGUUAGCUGGUCUGAGAGGAUGAUCAGCCACACUGGGACUGAGACACGGCCCAG